rnacentral:rRNA from 1 species
GUGGGGGAUAUUGCACAAUGGGGGAAACCCUGAUGCAGCGACGCCGCGUGAGUGAAGAAGUAUUUCGGUAUGUAAAGCUCUAUCAGCAGGGAAGAAGAUGACAGUACCUGAGUAAGAAGCCCCGGCUAACUACGUGCCAGCAGCCGCGGUAAUACGUAGGGGGCAAGCGUUAUCCGGAUUUACUGGGUGUAAAGGGAGCGUAGACGGAUGGAUAAGUCUGAAGUGAAAGCCCGCGGCUCAACUGCGGGACUGCUUUGGAAACUGUGCAUCUUGAGUACGGGAGGGGCAGGCGGAAUUCCUGGUGUAGCGGUGAAAUGCGUAGAUAUCAGGAGGAACACCGGCGGCGAAGGCGGCCUGCUGGACCGAAACUGACGUUGAGGCUCGAAAGCGUGGGGAGCAAACAGG